rnacentral:rRNA from 1 species
CGCGCAAAACCUUACCUAGGCUUGAAAUCCUACGAAUCUGGGGUAAUUCCCGGAGUGCCCGCAAGGGAAUGUAGUGACAGGUGCUGCAUGGCCGUCG